rnacentral:rRNA from 1 species
UACAGAGGUCUCGAGCGUUGUUCGGAUUCAUUGGGCGUAAAGGGUGCGUAGGUGGUCAGGUAAGUCGGAUGUGAAAUCCCGGGGCUCAACCUCGGAACUGCAUUCGAUACUGCCUGACCGGAGUACUGGAGAGGAGAUUGGAAUUUACGGUGUAGCAGUGAAAUGCGUAGAUAUCGUAAGGAAGACCAGUGGCGAAGGCGGAUCUCUGGACAGUUACUGACACUGAGGCACGAAGGCCAGGGGAGCAAACGGG